UUACUGAGUCACUGCCCACUUGAGCCACCAGUGCCUGUGCCUGGACUGAGCAGUCCCUCUUCCCUCUGACUGACCCCAGUGCCCUCUUUCCUGCCCAUCACCGGAGCAGCUAUUCCAUCGUGCCUGCAAGCUGACCAGAGAGAUCACUGGGCUGCUUUGUGGUAUCCUUUAAGGUGGAAACACAAAAUGAAUUCUCGAAAGUGCCAUUCUAGUUCACUUGCUGAUGGAACUCCAACCUCCAUGGCAUCUUCACAGAAGCCUCAAGAUGCCACUGAAAACUCAUCUUUUCAUCCCAAUAUAUAAAAACCCCUGUUGGGGCAGAAAGCCCCUGGUUGUGCCUUUUCCCUGUGACAGCUAUGACUCCUGUGCAGCACUGUUUCAGCUGUGCACUGAUGCACAUCCAGGUCAUCAAAACCCAUUCAUUCUUCCUCCAUCUGGUGUAAGCCAGCUGGACACCAACUAGGUGGUGUCACUGCUAGAUGUGCUGUAGUUGUACCAGGCAGUGACACUGAGCCAGGGGCCUUUGCUAGGCUGGAUGUGUGACAUCUCACUGUUCCUCCAUACAGACCUCUCCCCAUCACAGUGCCCAAGACUGAUGACCCAGCAGCCCAGGGAUGCCUGGGCAGGAGCAGGGCUGCUAGGCCUCCCAAUCAUCUGAGAACAUCUCAUCUAUAUUCUGUGGAUGUAGUAGUGAUGGGCAGAAUUCAUCCUCAACAGAAUAAGAUAAAGAAUGAUAAACACUUUAAUCAAACAGUGCUGUGUCUGCAUAGGGAACUGUCUGAGGCUGAGCUCGGAGGCUCCUUUCUUACAGCUGUUCACUACGUGUGUCAGGGACAACUUCCUUAUCUGUGUGAUGGGGAGGCAUCAUCCCCUAGGUCAGGGGUGUUGGGAGAACAAAGUGGUGACUCAAUCACUUUUUUCAUCAAGAAGAUACAACACCCACCACUUGCAGCUUGAAUGGUGCAGGUUGAUUUUAGUUCACAUGUUUAGUCCGUCCACAGUCCAUGGGCUCCAAGGCAGAAUGGCACGGUACAGGGAAAACAGUGCUCGUGUCAAGGCAGCCAGGAAGAGGCAAGUGAAGGGAGGACUUGGGGAGGGAGAUACCCUUCAGGUGCCCCUCCCCCAGAGACCCAUCUCUUUUGCCCAGAUCCUGCCUCCUAACAAGAAAGCAACUACACCACAUCCAUCAUUGAAUCACUUCCCCAUAUCCCCUCCUAAGAACAUACUUGAGAGCAUCUAGAGAUAAGCAUAACAAAUGGGAAUGUAUCUGGAGGAGGGCAGCACAGUGUCUCCACAUUUCCUCCCUUCGAAUGGACACUGCAUCCUGGGAUUGUUCUUGAGGAUGGUGAGAACACAAGAAAGACAAGCAGAUUUUCCCAUGUCCUGAGUGCCUCUAUUCGGGUGGACCUGGGCUCCCCCUGAGACAUUUGGCAUGCUGAACCUCUGGCUGCAGACCUUGGCCCCUGCAUUUGCAAUCAGGAGCUUCGGUAAAGAUAUAGAUGUCUGCAGAGGCAGGACUCACCCUGCAUCUCUGUCUCCGACAGCCCAGCCACCCUAAUGUAGAGAACUUCAGGCCAAGAUCAUGUAAAGUCUGUCCUGGGCAGAGGGAGAUGCCCAUGGGCAGUGCCCUGACUCCUGCUGGGACACAGUUGGGUUGUUCAUACACUGAGGACAGAACUCGUAGCUGCUUGAGGACUGCUGUGUGGUGAGACAGUGAGGUCAUUCAUGUUCAUCACAGCUGCCAAACUCCAUACAGUGUCCACUCUGCCUGUUCAUUCCUGAGGAUUCACUUUCCACUCCAGGACAGGGAGAUCCAUACCCAUCCCUGAUUGGUGCUUCCUCCCCCUGGGUCAUCUACUCGGAGGCCCUGAGACUGGCAGGCAACUCUAUCCUAACCACAUGCUGUCUUUCAGAGACCACUUACUCGCUCCCUUUGAGUCUCUUUGCAGGACCCCUGAAGUCACUGUGUACAUGUGUGUCACCUGGCUUCUGAAUGAAUGAAUCAGCUUCCUUCAUCUCAAGGGACCGACUUGACAAUUCCUUCCUCAGAGCCAAAUCAGUGCUUUGCCAAGACUGAUGAAAUAGCUUCCCAUACAGACAAUGGUGUAUGAGGGCUGGAGAGAACUGUGGCAAGAAUAGAGUUCAUCCACUGAGCUCAGCAGCAUCGCUCACAAGGGAAACAGGUACCUUCUAAUCCAUUUUUGUGGAUAACUACAAGGCAGUAGGUCCAUGGUGGUUCCCACAGCACGGCUAAGGAACUGCACGUCCUGUCACCAGGUGCAUUCCUAAGUGUGUCCCUGGGAGAAUGGAGAGCACGGGUCUGCAUAGAUGUUUGUGCGUGGAUAUUUCAGCAACAUAGGCUGCUCCAACCAGAAACAACCUGGACGUCCAAAGCCAGGUGUGAUCAAACUUCAGUGUCAGCUGCUCCCAACAGCUUUGUAGUUUGCUGAGGAUCAUCAGUAUGGUGGGAAAGAGGUACGAGGAAUGCAGAAGAAAAGAGUCCAGAAAUUCUCCAUUUCAGGGUCACAUGUGGAAUUCAUGGCUCCCCAAGUCCUUACCAAGUGUACUCUGCUCAUUGUACUUUGAAAACUCACGUUGGCCUCAAUAAGAGCGAGAGCCCCACCCACUCAUGGUCCAUGCCUUCCCCAUCAUGACCACAUACCCAGUGCAUUGUGUCAGGAGACUCAUCUACCAAAUGUAGCUGCCCUUCAAGGAAGCCACUGUGCCUGUCCCUUUUUCCCCUUUGCUGGAAACCACAAGGCAUAACUUGAUUGUUCACUCCUCCACUCCUAAGUGAGUAAAAUUUCUCCUUCAUCCCAUGGGGUAGACUCAGUGGCUUUCUUUCCUAGCCCAUGGCAACUUGGGUGAUCAAAACUCAUAAGGUGACUCCCCAGGUAAACAGUGGCACCCGAGGUUCACCGCCUGUGUGAACUGGGGGUUUACUGCUAUCUUACUCCUUCUGCCCUGCUGGCACAAGUUCAGUAAUGAUAAAUCUUACAAAGAACAGAAAUUUAGUUCUUACAGUUCAGGAGGCCUGUGUCCUCCUGAUGAUGGCAAAAGCCAAUGAACUUCUUUGCAUCUGUUUUUUUUUUUUUUUUUUUUCCAUUUGAUACCGGGGACCAGAAUUACAACCUCCUGCUUGCCAGGCAGGCACUUGUGCCAACUGAGCUAAAUCCCCAGUUCCUGCAUCUCUUGUGUAAAGCCACUAACCCUAUUCACGAGGGCUCUGAUCCCAUGACCUAGUCAGCUCCCUAAACAGUUGUCUAUAGGGAUUGGAAUUUAAAUAUAUCAAUCUUAGAGGAAAACUAUUUGUGUCAUAGCACUUGACAUUAUAGAUAUGUUCUUAAAAUUUGGGAAGUAGGGCUAGAUGGCUUCCCUGUUAUCCUGACCUAGGAGCCUUAAUUUACUUAAAAAAAAAACCUUUGUGGUUUCCCCCAUAUUUCCCCUUCCCAGUCUUCGCCUUGCUUCACUUCCUGGAGAUACCAGGACUCAGAUGAGCCAGUCCUUAGCCCUGUAUUUACAGGGCUAAUACAGGCAUAGUGAACUGUAUUUAUAGGAGAGUUUUCAGGUGGGGUCUUGGAGGAUUACAGGAUGAAAAACCAGGUGCAUGUUCAGGGAGUGGUGGUGAUUUGUAUGGUGUGUGUGUGGGAGGGAUGGCUACACACACUUAAACACUAAUGUUCCAUUCUCAGUUGUUACAACUGCCUCUGCUCUUAUUCAUGGGUGAUGGUGCUGGGACUGGGUUAAUAUGGGAUGGACACAGCUAGGCACUGAGUGAAGUCAGCAGACUCUAAUUUUCCAUGUACACAGUCUUUAGACAAAAAAGUGCAUAGCCAUGAUGUUCAAGGUGGCAUGCCCAGCUGUAAAACUGCAAAACAAGAAAGGACACAAUCAGCAUUAAAGUGAAGUUAGGGACUUCCCCAAGGAGGGGGUGGCCUGUGGCAGCAGGAAGGGGAACAGGUGCAUGGUCCUAGAGUGACCGCUGGCCUGUUUCAUCAAGGGAAUUCAUUAUCUUGUACAGAAGGGAGUGUCUCCCAAGCCCUCUUCUAUGUAUGUCACUUAUCCCCCUCCCAACUGUGUUCUAAGAAAUACCAACAGGAAUCUUAGGAUGUUCUAACUCUCAGAUUUUCCACCACUGUUUUCAGUUCCUGCUACACAAUUCAAAUGAUCUAAUGGUGAAUUCAGGUGUAUGUUCUUAUGGGUGAAAUCCUGGCCAUCCUUCAUGGUAGACACCUCAAGGCUGAUGCUAUUUGUGCCUCAAAUUCUCUUCAGCUGGGACCCUGGGGGAGGGGGAGGACCCCCUGUAAGCAGAGCUGAGUAGGCUGGUCAACCUAUCAGGACCUGUAGUAAUGGGUCUGAGAGAGAGAGAAGUGCCAUAAAGAAAGCCACCCUGGCUGGCUGGAGGUGUAGUUUAGAGAUCAGCACUUGCCUAGUCCACAGGGAUUGAGGUCCUGGGUUCCAUGACAAGUAUGAACUUUGUAAUCAUGCCACAAAGAGAGGAGUUUGACCCCUUUCAAAAAUCUGCCAAGAUUUUUGACUUCCUUUUGACUUCCUUCCCUACAAGUUCCACUGAUGUUUCUCAGCUUGUGAGCCUCCUGUGAGUAGAGUUAAACUCCGUAUUUCAGUGUGUUAAAACAUACAGAAUGCUAACACCCCCAUACCACAGUGAGUCUUCUGCUCAGGAUUCCUGAGACAAAACCUCCAGUGUGGGCAAGUAUCCCUGUGCUCUGUCUGUGGCCCACACUGAUGUCACCCUCUUCACUGGCUUCAUUUCUCCCUGCCCCUUUCAGCAACACUAGUCUGUACUCUGAAGCACCCUUGGAACAUGGAGCCCUCUGUCCAGAGUACUGAUACCUGUCACGGAGCCAACAGCCAGCCCUCAGUACUCAUGUGCUGAGACUAGGUAGCACACCAUCUCAGUCCUCACGUCCUGAGGUCCCACUUAGCACCCUCUUGCCACUCCUAGUCCUGUGUGUGUGUGUGUAUGUGUGUGUGUGUGUGUGUGUGUGUGUGUGUGUGCCUGCGUGUUUCAUAUCCUGAGAGAGGAACCCUGGCAGAAGACCAGGUUUGCAAACCCACAGAGUCUCAUAGGCCAUGGGGUGGAGUUUUAAGUACCCUCGGGGGGUUAUCAGAGCCACGGAAGGGUAAGGAGCAGGGAGGAAUGUGAUCUGACAGGGGUUUAAAGAUUUCAGAUGCUAAGUGGGGAAGACAGUGGAGAGCAAAAGCAGAAAGGAGGCCAGCGUGCAGGCUGCAGAAGCGGCAGGAAAGAGAUGACAUAGACUGCACAGGAACGGGGCUCAGGAGGUGUCUGGGAUGAGGGAACCGUUAAUAUGCGCAAACAGGACACAGAUGCAGAGUGCUCUCCGGAGCCGGCCAUGAUCUAAGGACAGACAGCGCCUCCACAGACGUGGCUCCAUCAGGACAGAGGUUCUAGAGCAGGUGUGGUAGCUAAGGACAUACCACCUGAGGUAUGAGGUCAGGGCCAGGCGGGUAUUCUUACCCCGAAAAGGGAAAGCGGAGUGGCCUGGCAAGAGACGGACAGAUACUUGUGGGAUGAAGGCAUUGGAAAUCACGGAGAUAAGUGUCCCCUUCCGGAGAUAUCUUCAACCCUCCCACGGCGUCGGUACACAGAGCACGGCUCGCACAGCGACCAGCUACCAGCAUACGGCGGACUCACCUGGGAGAAUCACAGCUCAAAAUGUCCUAAUUUACAACCACAAGGAAUCCAGACACUGACUCUAAGACUACGACUCCCACAAGGCAUUGGGGCUGCCUAGCCUACGACUCCCAGAAUGCAACAGCUUCUCCAGAGCGACUGUAGCUCUGAGUUCCCUUGGCCUAGCAACUCACACAUUCCAGAUCCCUGUUGGACGCUAAGCCCACUCUGGUUCCCGCUUCAGUGCUAAGGAACUACACUCUGAAGGACUUGGCUCUAUCUCAUCUUGAUUGGCUCCAGGGAGUCUAACAACACAGGCAAGUCCAAAUGAACGCUUGGGCAUCCUUAUAAGUGUCAAAUUCUGCCAUGUCUUCCCAGGUGUAAAGUAUUCAGACUCUGAGUUCAGAGUGAGGGAGCCAAUAUGGGCUGAGGAAGGGGCAGAGGAGCCAGCCCAGGCUGUGACAGGGAGGGAGGGACAGGAUAUUUUGGCUUCUCACCCCACUAUUGUCUGCAUCCAGACAAAGGCUUCAAGUCCAGUGAAACAUUUCAGCCAUUCCCACCAUGGAGACCCAGGUCUGUGGCUGCUCUGUGUCAGCUACAUGCAGCACUAGGCCAGGAGAACUUGGCCUUGGCCCUAGAUGCAUCCUGAUCUUCAACCCAGAAAACAUACAGCUACAGGGUACAAACUGGGGAUGAGAAUGGAGGUGUAGAACUCACAAGCCUGAGCCAUGGCCCAGAAGAAACAUCAUCUGUCUGGCAAAGAAUGUACAAAUGUUUAUACAAGUGUACAGAAGAUAUGUGAUAGCAUUGUGUUUAUAUGCAUAUGUAUAUUUACAGAGACUAUGCACUCACUGAGUAUAUAUGCACAUAUUCAGUAAAUAUGUAAGAACUCAAGAGUUGCCUGAUAUAGUUCACAUUGGUAAUCUCAGAAAACAGUGGAAGGAGAAUAGGAUGUUGGAGGUCAGCUUAGCCAUGCUAGCAAGACUGUUUCAAAAGCAAUUUUAAAAGGUCUUCGGGUUUGAUUCAGUGGUAGAGUGUCUUUUUUCUAAUAACAUACUGAGGGAAAAUACGACAGGACAAACAUCAAUCAGAAAACAUUCUAAUAGGUGGAAGUGGCCUGAUGACUUCAACAGACACUACCAAAGGCAUGCUGAUGCCAGAUAAGUGCAUAAAGACAGACUUCAUUUGUCAGAUUUCCUACACUCUUCCCUUUAUAUUUGACUUUUUAGGUGAUGAUUAUAAAAUAAUACUGUAAAUUAUGUGUUCUCUAUGAUUGUUUCCCUUGCAAUCUCUGACUAGUAUAAGAUUGGUACUAACAGAGUGGUUCAUUGCUGUGACGUUGCCCGGCCACGUGAUUUAAGAGCAUUGGAAAUUAAUUUGGAAAGAUUUUGAGAGACUGGCUGAAGAGGAAGCUCCUGUAUGCUGUAUAGUAUAUUGGAGACCCUGGUCAGAGCCUGGAAAGUUGGCAUACUUUCCAGGAAAAUGCUGAUAGUUACGAUGAAGCCCAGGAGGCUUCUAUUGAGAAGGACUGCAUUGGCUGCUGCAUCCCAGGUAAUAUACUCUGUUUUGGCUGAAAUUUGUCUGCAUUUUGCUUGUGUUUAGAGAUAUUUCCCGGAUGGCAGAAAAAUUUCACUGCAGUGCCAUUGGGAUGCAGUAGCAUGGUUACCACUGAGAGCUUUGGGCCAGAUCUAUGUUGGAAACUAAAAGUAAAGAUCCAGUAGAGUGAUUUUGAACACUUGGCAAGAGAGAAGGCUCUAGCAGAGCUAUGGGUUGCAAGGAUGACAUGGAGGGGAACAUGGUUGUUGAGAGGGAACAAUGAAAAAAUGAACUAAAGUCUUUCAUCCGAAGGGGGUAACACUGAAUUUCAGGACAUCCCUGUUUUUUAGUGUUGCCAUGCCCUGUUAAACUUUAAUGGGAAUCAAAGGCUGUGAUUGUAGUAGUUCUCUUGAUUUAAUGUAGUUUUUAUUUUUUAAAAUUUAUUUAUUUAUUUGAUAUCAGGGAUCUAACUCAUAACCUUGCACUUGCCAGGCAGGUGCUUAUGCUGCUAAGUGAAACCCCCAGCUUAAUGUAGUUAUUAGAUAUAUGUUUGUAAUUGGUUUAAUUAGUCCAAGUAUUGUGUUUUAACCUUGAAUUUUGGUCACUCUUUGAAUAUUUUAGGUUGCAGGAAUGAGUGAAGAAUUGUGUACAUGUAAUUGUUGUACUAAUGUAAAUCUGAAUGGACAACAUAUGUUAACUUUCCACAAGUCUGUCACCACAGACUACAGUUUAAGGAAAUGUAUAGGGUUUUCAAGUUGAAUACAGGUGGCUUCUGGUGUUUUGAUAACUGGUGGUCAAGUUGUAAAAGCAGCUGAACUGAAUCUGUGGUGCUGGAUAUGGAUGGCCGACCUGAGGAUUUUUGCCGAUUUAACAAGAGCUGAGGAGAAAGAGCUUAGCAUUGUGGGUCCUCUUGAGUGUUGUUGCUUCUCUGUGGUGUUGUUCUCUCAUUGCAAUUGGUUCUCCUGAAGGACCUUGUAGAGCUUCUUUCAUGACAUGCAAUUGGCUGUUCCCAUCACAUCAGAGGAGCUGGGGACCUCGUUGUCACUUAGAAUAGCUGUUGAUCACUUUGGGGGAGCUCUGGUCCUCACUUUGAGCAUCACUUCUUGACUCUAGAGGGGAAGACAUGUGCUAUUCAUUCUCCUGGGAAAGCUUGGCAUGCUGGCUUCCUGAUAUGAACUCAUCUGUUCUCAUCAUAUGAGGAGCUCAGGAUUUCAUUAUCACUGAGAAUGGCUGUGGUACUUUUGUGGGGAGCUAUGGUCCUGAUUUUGAGCAUUGCUUCCUAGCUCAGCCGUCAAGCACAGAUCCUUCAUCCUUACAGCUUAGACUUUCUGGCUUCCACUGUUGACCUUUGGGCCUUCCCAGCACAGAUCCAUGGAACAGAUUUACAUGAGACAUUGUUGUGGGCUCUAGGUCUCCAUUCAGUCUCAUGGGGACAUUGUCAUGGGCUCUAGGUCUUCAGCUGGACUCAUGCAGGACAUUCCCAUGGGAUCUAGGUCCUCAGAUGGAUGUUUUGGGUCUUAGUGUGUGGACAGAUUUCCUGCACUAUUUCUUUUGUAUUCGAGUCUUUGAAUGACCAUCAUAAAAUAAUACUGUAAAUUGUGUGUCCUAUAUCAUUGUUUUCCUUGAAAACUAUGACUACGACACUUGUUAAUCAGGAUUCUGCAGGUACAGUUACAGUUGGAGGUACACAUACCAGUCCUUACCAGUGUUUCAUUUGCACUCACACCUCUGCAUGCCCACCCUCCAUCCAGGGGCAAUGCCUUCCUCUUUAUUCCUGAUGGUGGUCAGCAACCUAAUUUUCCAGCCAUUAACAAUCAUGUCUGUAAUUCAAACCUCUAUUCCCACAACCCAAAACAGUAGGCUAUGUAGUGCAUUAAGAACAUAAGUGCUUUUUGCCCAGAGUUUUAGAGGAUAAAAGUCCAAAAUUAAUUAAUUAAUUUUUAAUUUUGAAGAGAACAAAACCAAAUGAUACAAAACAAAAUAGAGUUAAUCAAAACAAAAGGAUGAGCAUAGUACAUGACUUAAAAACAAAAUAGAAAGUGAUCAACAAUGAUUACCGUGCCUCUUAUCUUCAAAAGAAUUACCCGUAUCAUCAGGCAUAAUAAAAUUGAACAAAAUAGUACAGAACAAAACCAAUAAGAACAAAACCAAUAACUAAAACAUUGGAGACAUUAUAGGAUUUCAAAAGAAGAUAAUAGUCAAACCAGAAUGGGUAUUGUAGUGUAUCUUAUUGUCUUCAAAGUAGUUGCCUGUACCCUCAGACUUGGUACUAUCAAAUAAAACAGAAUAGAAUAAAAUCAGUCAAAACAAAACAGUGAAAGCAAUACAGGACUUCAAACCAAGUUAAUAGGAAAUAAAAAAUGGUUACCAUAGUACAUCCUCCUUUCUUUGGGAUAGCUGUCCAUGCCAUCAAUUCUAAUACAAGUAGACAAACUGAAACAAUAAAAUCAAACUAAACAGAGUGAUGAAAACAAUAUGGGUUUCAAAUCAGGAUAAUAGAUUACCAAUGUUCACUGCCUUCCCGUUUUAGACAAUUUCUCCCCUUUCACUUUCACAGGAUGUAUUGUACAUUUGUAUCCCACUAACUUCUUUAGUUUUUAUAUUAGGGGGCAACAUGCUACUCACCUAUGUGAUUCUGAACCUUUUUACCGCUGAGCAUGAUUUCAGGUUGUAUCCAUUUACCUACAAGAUCCUCAAGGUUUUUUUCUUUAUAGCUGAGUAGUUUUCCAUUGUAUGAAAGUGACAUGGCUUCUAACCAAUCUGGAGCUGAUGGGCAAGCUACCCCCCACUUUUUUUUUUUUGGUUCCCUGUCACAAAGAGCAUUGUUUUCUUGUCUUUGAUUUUCAUUCUAUAAGCCCUCCGUAUGGUUAAAUGUAUUUCUUAUAUAAAGCAUAUUGAUGAACCCAAUCUCCUGAUUCACUCUGCCUGUAUUUUUUUUUUUUAUUGGUGAAUCGAGACCAUCUAUAUUAGUUAUUAUGGCCAACCUGCUCUGCCUCAUCCCUGCCAUGCCAUUUUUCUGCCGUUGGUUGUCUACUUUUCCCUUUCAUUCCACUGUCUGCCCUGUUCAGUGAGCCCCCUCUGCCACUGUUCCUGAAACGGUCUUUUUUAUCUCUCUUUAGAAUGUCCUUCAGUUGUUUUUGUAGGGUUGGUUUGGUGGUCAUGAACUCCCCUAGUUCCUCUUUGUUGUGGAAGCAUCUUGUUUCUCCAUUAAUCCUGAAAGAUAGUUUUGCAGGGUACCUUACCUCAGUCUGGGUUGAAGGAUAUUUUCUUUCAGGGUUGGAAUGCUUCACUCCAAACUCUUUCUUGCUUUUAUGGUUUGUGUUGAGAAGUCUGUCAUGAUUCUGAUGGGUUUUCCUUUACAAGUGAUCUGUUUCUUUUCUCUGACAUCUUUUAAUAUUCUGUUCUUGUGUUGAAUUUCUGGAAUCUUUAUAUGUCUGGGUGUAGAUCCAUUUUGGUUAUAGUUGUCUGGAGUUCUGUAUGCCUCAUUUAUCUGAAUGUCAUUUCCUUUUCCUAUGCUUGGGAAGCUUUCUUUAAUUAUUUCUAUAAAUAGCCUCUGCAUUUCAUUUGUAUUUACCACUGCUUCUUCACUCACAUUUUUAUUCUUAAGUUAUACUUCCUCUUGUCAUCUUGUAGCUUUUGUACUGUUACUUCCUGGGUCCUUGUUAUUUUUAAAAGAUUUUUCCUUUCACAAUUGCUAGCUGCAAACCGUCUGCAAGGUUUGAUAGUCUAUCUUCAGUUUCUUUCAAGCAGUUUUGCCAGAUUUCAGUGGAGUUUUUAAUUUCCUGGUAAUCUCUUUGAAUCUGUUUCAUGUAUCCUAUUUUUUUAUAUUCUUCACUGAUGAUUUCCCUCAUUAUUCUAUGCUCCUGUAUUCUUCCAUCUGUAUCUUCUUUAAAGGCACUUAGCAAUUCUUUUAUUAUGUUUCUCAUUUCUUCUUUUACUUGGGGUAGUAUUUCUUUUCUAAAUUCUUUUAUAACCUCUUGAAGUUGUUUCUUUAUUUCAGUUGCUGUUGCUUCAGAAACUGCAGGUGUGUGACUCAUAAUUUCUUCCAUAUUUACGUCUUCUGGACCAGUACUGCUUGAUUUGGAGGCCAGAAACUGCCUUUUGCGUCUUCCUCUUGUCAUGUUCCUGGUUCCUUUGAUAAGUGGGUAGUGGGGUCCCUAGCACUCCUUGUGUUGGCUAAAAUAUCUCUGGAGCAAGGUUGCUUUUUCUAACCUGUUCUGGCUAGGAAUAUCUGAUGUUGACCAUUGGAUGUGUCAGUACAGGGCGGGUGGAGCUGGUUGGUGAUAGCUUUAGGGAAACCUGGGCAAUGUCUGUUGGACUGCAUAUGGGAGCGGGACUCAGUCCAAGCAAUUUCCACCAGUCUGGUUCAAGCUACAAGUGGCUGAAUAAAGCCAACAGCAGUUCUGGCUCUGGGUUUAUCUUGCCUGACUCCAAAAUGGCACCCAGCCAAUUGCCCACUCCCACAAGAGGACUGAGUCCCCCAUGCUCACUACCAGCCAGUGAAGUUCUCUGAUCUGCUGCUCCCCUCUUCCACCAUGUCUCCCCACCGUCGGGCUUGCCCAUCACCAGCUUCACUGUGCCCAAGCAUCUCUGGUUUCCAGCAGUACUUCUUGUACAGUGGGUCCAGCUCCGGGAGAAAAUGCCACCAGCUUGUGCCUUCUUCUCUUUAAGUUUUUCUUUUCUUUUUUAAAAAAUUCUCUCUUUGGGCUUCAAUUCUCACUUUAGUUUCUUCCUGGGUUGAGGGCACCCACUUCUUUCCUUUUUGUUUUCUCCAGAAUGCUGUCUUCUAACAUCUGGACUGUUUUUCUCAGAGAGGCUCUUUACUCUGCUGUUUACUGUUCCACCAUCUUCCUAUAUACCAAAAGUCUAAAAUUUAGCAGCAGCAACUCUUUGGUCUUUGGUGAGGUACUUUUAAAUGGAUUACAAAUAGUGACAAAUCCAGAAAAGAACUGGCCAUAUGACCAAAUGGCCACAAAUGUGGGGCAAACUCACUGAAACAAUUGAGAACUGAAUGAGGUCCAUUAAGAUCUGUUAGUCUCUUUUGAGUGGAGCAACCUCAUUGCUCUAAUUACCUACACUCCACCUAUUUAAGGUCCCACAUCUCUGACAUCAACAUUCUGGGAAACAAGUAUCGUGUGAGCUCUUGGGGGACAAAUCGCCACCAUGUCCUUCUGUAACCUUCCUCCAGUGUGAGACAGACCUACUGAUUGCUUCUAAUGAGGAAAGCAAAAUUAAAGUGUGAAGUGAAAAAUGCCGGCACAAAUGACACAGAGCAAAAGCUUCACUUUAGCCCCAUGCUCUCUCUUGCUUUCCAUUUUAAUGAAGGUAGAUUAUUCUGGGAUCUUCCUUAUGGAGAGGCCUGUAUUUGUGGGAAUUGAGGGCAGUCCUAAACCACCAACCUGUGAGAGACUGAGGCUCUCACACAACUGCUAUCAGGAACUGAUGCCUGCCAGCCAUGAGGAGAAUCCUGAAGGUGCAUCCACCCCUGAGAGCAUCAUUUGGCAUCAUGAGUGCAGCCUGUGAGAAGAUCUAUGCCAGAGGAUGAGAUGAGCUGCACUUUGAUUCUGAAACCUCAGAAACUGUGAGAUAAAAGUGUUGUCUUAGGCCUUUGAGCCUGGAGGUGAUUUAUUAGGCAGCAGCAGGUAAUUAAUACACUGCCCACAGGGAGAUACACUGCCCACAGGGAGAACAUUGAUCAUUUUAAGCUCUUUCACAUUUGUACCCUUAUGCCAGAUAAGCUUCUCUUCUAGCGAUCUCCUUAUUCUUUACGAUCAUGAUCAAAUUCUCCCCAUAAGGACCUUUUAUGACAUUUCCAGGAAGAGUCUUAGCUCCCAACAGAAGCUCCAAAAUGCUUGUCACCAAUGUCACUGUGAUCAGCAAACACUGACAGCAUGCUGACAGCAUGGGAAGGUGACUGGAACCAGGGUGUGUGAUACUAAUGACUGGAUUAGACCACUGAUGGGUUUCUAUCUCACUGUGAUGUGGGGUAGUGAAGCCUGAUGGGAAGAGGUGGGUCAUGGAUGUGGCUAGGAACAGUGUACAUCCCUUUUCCCUGGAUCUGCCUUCCUUCUUGCUGCUGUGCCAUGGACACUUUCUUCUCUACCAUACCCACUGCCAUGCUACCCUUCCUCACAGCAGUCAGCUGCCUGUGGACUGAAACCUCUACAAACUGUGAGCAGUGACCAAAACCUAAGACAUGGCCCACCAGAAAAGGAAGUAGGAGCUCACUGUUAAUAAUGAGAAUUCUUGGGGAGACAGUCCUGCCAUGUUUAGCUGGUUCAGGUAUAAGUCAUCAACACUUGGGAAUUGUGUGAUUUGUAAUCUCGCUAUUGCUACUUUGUACCUGACAUCUUUGAAUGUCAUGGCUCAAAUCUCAUCUAAGUUCGCAAGACUGAUUGUAUUCCUCAGAUUCUGCACCUUGGAGACUUGUCAUUUUGCCUGGCUCUCAAGGUCGCAUCAGGUCAGGUCUUAGAGUUCUGUGUCUUUGUCCUGAGAAAGAACUGGAACAGUUCAUCUGGGCGGGGAAGUUCCCCUACUGUUGCUGAGUUUCAUGACUUCUGGAGCCUUGAGGUUGGAGAUGAGAACAUACCCUCUUGCUGCCAGAUCUUUGCACCAUCUCCCAGAGGAGGGAAAGAUCAUAUUUACCUCCAUGUCUACCUCUUAUUCCUCCUACUUCAGAAGCCUAUUGUGUGUGAGUUUCAACAGCUCAACUCUGCCUAUUUCUUCUCUCUCUUCAUUUCUUGUGGAUCUUCCCUGAUGGUGCUUAGAUUUUUCUAUCCUUCCAGUCUUCUGGGAGUCCAGUGCAAUUAGUUAUACUUUUCCCUGAUGUAAUCACCAUUAGUUGAUAUAAUUACCAUCGGGUGACGUAAUCACCACAAUUAUACAAAGAAAAUCUCAGGUAUCACACAGACAUCUCUUUCUCACCCACCACACCCAUGAAACAAUGAAUCUUGCAAAUGUCCCUUCCAGAAAAUGGCUCAGUUUACUUCCUCUUCUAACAUCCCAGUAGCCCUGCUCCAAGUCAUUUUCUGUCUUCUUCUUCUUCUCAGACACUUACUCUGGGCUUCGUUUAGUCUAUUGGCCUCCACUGCCUCCCUCCCCAGGUUUGUCUUAUCUUCACAAGAAUAACUUUCCAAUUCAAGAGCCCACUCUGUAUGUGCAGUGUUGGAGACCAGUGAAACUUCAACCUGAAAUUGGAGACCAGCACCAUCUAGUUCCUAUUAUUCCCUUCAUUGUCACCAAAGGCUGAAAACAGCUGUCUACUCAGGAACUCUGCUCCCUGUGUUAACCAUUCUGAACUCAGAAAGAAAUGGACAUCAACUCUGGGUAUUGUCUCUUUUGUGCCUUACCCAGUUCUCAGACCUUGGGCACUGCUUCCUAACUUCCGAUUCCCAAGAUAAAUAUUUGCCAUCUGUGAUACACAGUGAAGGAAGUUAAAAAGUAGCUGACUGGAAGAAAGUUACUCUGUUAAGUGAAGCCCCAGCUGGGGCUAUAAAUUCACCGCGGCUUGCCUUUGUGAUGUAAAUCAAAACAGGAUUACCAUCUCCCUUUCAGCUACAUCAGAGUACACAGCCACUAGGAAGGCAGGAUGAACUUUGUUCUGGUGGGGAAUUGGCUGAGAGAUGAGGUUGACCAGAAAUGAGCCCUUUAACACUUCAAAGUCCUCACUGGGGAUGUGAGCCCUCCUGGGCUUUGUUCUACAGAGUUUGUGUAUUGCAGUUGCCAAAUAAGAACAGGAAAAGCUGAUUGAGUCCACAGUUGAUAAGGCUGUAGCAGUUUCAUUCAAGAAAAAGUGAAAGCAAAAUAAAUGAUAACUUUAUCUGGGAAAUUAAUUAAACCUAGCACCCUUUCUGCAAAGAAACAGAAUGUAACAUUUGGAAGACUACCUAAUUCUUGAGAAAAAUAAAAUAGAAGGACCAAAAAAAUCCUAUUUCCAAUAGAAUGAAAUGAUAGAAAAUAAAGCUCAGAAGGUAUAAGUGGCUGAAGUUUGUCAUUGAAGGCUCUUGGCUCUGGGAAGCAGGACCUCACUCUGAUGACAGAAUGACCUGUUGGAGUACAGUGAGUACAGUAAAUGUGCAAGAUGAUGCUUGGAACAGACCUGCUAACAAGCUGACUCACAAGAACAAGGGAGCACCACCAGCUCAGCUCUCCAGGGUCUGUCUCCUGAAAGAGUCUAAACUGGAAGAACCAACAUGUUAUGAAAAAAUAUAUUUUAGAGAACUCUCCUCAAAUGUAAUGGUCAGUAACUAAGAGCUCAAAAUGUUUGUUGCUAUUACCAUCAUCAGUUCCUGAAACUAAGAUGCUCUACCAUGAAUCUUUGUUAUUUUAAUUCUCAGACUUCGUACAAAUGGCCCAAAUGUCAUGGAAUCAUUUUCACUCAAUUUUUCUAGUGAAUCCUUCAGGCUUAGAUGGCAUAAUCUCACUGCCCUUAAACAAUGAGGGACAUCUAGACAUCAGAAGAGCCCAGGAUGAGUCUAGAAACAGGAGAAACAUUAUAGAAGCUCAGACCACUCACUGAACAGUAGGUCUGCUUGUUCCCAAAUCACAUGGUCUUAGGCAGUGAAGACUUCUUCUGCAGUCUAGGUUAUUAGGGUACCUAAGAUGUGGCCCGGUAUGUAGAGCCAUAUGCUCUGCAGAGUUUGGUGAUAUUUGAGUUCAGGACUCCAGAAAUACUGGAUCAGCACUGUAGAAAUCAUCCCAGCAUCUAGGAGCUCAUGAGGUGUACUAAAUGUCCUGGAAAGAAAGGCAUCCUUUCUGCCUGAGUCACCUUGAUUUACAUUCUAUGCACUUGGUUCCAGAUGAGCUUGAGAGAAAGAGGUGUUAUGAUUUGUGGCUGGGUGUCCUCCUGUCAUGGUUUAUGGUAGACCCCAGGCCUCAUGCAUUUAUAUUAUGCAUUUGUGAUUGGUUCAUCAUCUAGCAUUUGGAUUGGAGAUAUGAGUGCUACACUGGCCUACGGGUGGAGCCAGGAUGUAAUGGCAGGAAGAAGAUGUCUCUGUCUCUCUCUUUUGCCAGUUUCUGCCUUGCUGUUUGAAGCCUCCAUGAACUGUGGCCCCACCAUGCCACCCUGCCUUCGAGCCAACUGAGUAUGGACUGAAACCUCCAAAAACUGUCAGUAAUAAACCUUUCCUUUCCCAACUUUGGGCAUCAGGUAUUUUGCCUCAGGGAUGAGUAAAAAGUAACUAAUACCACCCUCCCCGGCAAAGUAUCAUGCAGUCAUGAAGGUGGUAGAAUCUAACAUUUGUGAUUGGUUUGUUGUCUAACCCUGGAAUUGGUGGUAUGAGUGCUGUACCUACACAGGGGCAGGUGCCAGAAUACAAUAUAAGGGCGAGAAAGAGGCACGCUCUUCCCAGUUACCCUUUUCACUCUUGCCUCUUAUGGACACUAUGAAUAGUCACCCCUUAACCAUGCCACCUUGCUGUGGAGCCAACUGAGUAUGGACUGAAAUCUCCCAAAACUAUAAGCUAAAUAAAUCUUCAUUUUGAGUCUUUUGUCUCAGCAACAAGAGAAAAAUAAUCAAGACAAGAAGUUUCACCAUAUCACAGAAAAUGAAGGAACUAGGCAGAAACCUCAUUUUUAUGUCCUUACACCAUGGUCCUGGAAAUUGGUUGUCAAUUAUUAUGAAUGUGUUCUAGAAGUUCUGUGAUCCAGCUCAGCGUCUUCUGUAAAUGAGGGUCUGGUCUUCUAUGAUUUCAGUGUGAGCUCUGGGCUUAGGAUACUUAGGAACAUAACACAUAAUCUGUCAUAAAGUCCCAUAGCCAUUAGUGUGUCAAACCCAUAUUUAUUCUUUAAGCCAUUUCUAUUGAUGAAUUUUUAAUUUUAUGAGUCAUUAUAUUAAACAAUGAGUGCUAAACAGGAAAAACAAUCACAAAAAUAAAAUAUUGCAUUUGUAAUA